AAUGAUAAUCAUUCAUUAGAAUAAAAUAAUCUAAUUUACAUUUUAUUAUACGUAUUUGGAAUACUUUCAAUACUUAUUUAUUCAAACACGUUCCCCGAAUACAAAAUACAAAUAUGCUGUACAAAACUGUAAUAUUUUAUACUUACCUACAAAAUUUACGAAAAAUAAAAUAAAUUUUGAAUAACAUACAAUUAUAGUCGGUACAAAUAAUAUGUGGUAAAUAGACAUGGUAAACAGUCACUAAUUUCCCUAUUUAUAAGAUAAUACAAACGUCAUGAAAAACACUCCAAAUAUCUAUCAGUUGGAACAAAUUUUGUGGCUUUACAACACACAUUUUUGUUGGGACGAAGUACAAUAGGAGACAUUGUUAGAGAAAUCUGCCAGGUUUUAGUGAACACGCUACAGCCUGAAGAAAUGCCAAAACCUAAUCCAGACCAAUGGACAGAAAUAACAAACAAAUUUUUUUUUUAUAUUUUAUUUUAGUUUUAUUUCCAAACUGUGUAGGAGCAGUCGAUGGCGAGCAUUUUCGUUGUAUUAAACCCAUUUAUUCUGGAUCAAUGUUCUACAACUAUAAAAAGUAUUUUUCAAUUGUAUUAAUGGCUGUAGUGGACGCAGAAUAUAGUUUUAUUUCAAUCUAUGUUGGUGCAUAUGGCAAGGAGGGUGAUUCAACAAUUUUCAAAAAUUAUCCAUUCGGAAAAAAACUAUAUUCUGAAUAAUUAAAUCUACCAGCACCUGUUGUUCUACCAAAUACAGACAGUUUCCCGCAGCCUUUCGUGGUAAUUGGUGAUGAAGCUUUUGGACUACACAAAAAUAUUUUAAGAUCAUAGCCUGGACGAGGUCUCACCCAAGAACGAAAAUUUUUUAACUACCGUCCGUCAAGAGCUCGAAGGUUCGUAGAAUGCGCUUUCGGAAUCCUCGCAAAUAAAUGGCGUGUUCUACAUAGUGCUAUCCUAGUUGAACCAGAUUUUGCAGACGGCGUUAUAAAAGCAUGCUGCAUUUUACACAAUUAUGUUAGACGAAGGGAUGGUUAUAACUUUGAAGACACCCUCUCAAACUCUUUGGAAAACAUUCAAAAUGAAAAUAAUUCUGGAGCUCGUCAACAAGGCUUAGAUAUUCGAGAAUAUUUUGCUGAAUAUUUUAUGAAAGCAGGAGCAGUUCCGUUCCAAUAUAGAUUGUAUAAUUUUUUUGUACUUCUAAAUACGACUAUUAUAAAUAUAAAUGAUAAAAG